rnacentral:rRNA from 1 species
CUACGUGCCAGCAGCCGCGGUAAUACGUAGGGCGCGAGCGUUGUCCGGAAUUAUUGGGCGUAAAGAGCUUGUAGGCGGUUUGUCGCGUCUGCUGUGAAAGGCCGGGGCUUAACUCCGUGUAUUGCAGUGGGUACGGGCAGACUAGAGUGCAGUAGGGGAGACUGGAAUUCCUGGUGUAGCGGUGGAAUGCGCAGAUAUCAGGAGGAACACCGAUGGCGAAGGCAGGUCUCUGGGCUGUAACUGACGCUGAGAAGCGAAAGCAUGGGGAGCGAACAGGAUUAGAUACCCUGGUAGUCCAUGCCGUAAACGUUGGGCACUAGGUGUGGGGAACAUUCCACGUUUUCCGCGCCGUAGCUAACGCAUUAAGUGCCCCGCCUGGGGAGUACGGCCGCAAGGCUAAAACUCAAAGAAAUUGACGGGGGCCCGCAMCAAGCGGCGGAGCAUGCGGAUUAAUUCGAUGCAACGCGAAGAACCUUACCAAGGCUUGACAU